CCUAUGUACACGACGUCGGUGGCAAUCUCGACUAGAGCGCGGUUGAUCACCAAGUAGCUAGCGCAUACUGCUGGAGUUCGAGGGCGUGUAGUGUAGCGAUGAAAUUGCGGCGUGGAAUCCUUUUGCACCACAAAUCACGGGAUUUUGGGCAUGUGGAACUUUAUCCUCUCGGCCUGUUCUGUAGCGCAUGGAUGGUCCAUCAGUUGGUCCUCCUAAUUCCACGGAUCAGUGGUGUCAUGAUGUAUACGCACGCUCUCAAUCAUUUCCCAGUCUGAGGUGGAAUUAACCUACAAGCAACUGAUCGCUAGUACUACU
rnacentral:lncRNA from 1 species